AUUGAACGCUGGCGGCAGGCUUAACACAUGCAAGUCGAGCGGGGUGAUGGUGCUUGCACUAUCACUUAGCGGCGGACGGGUGAGUAAUGCUUAGGAAUCUGCCUAUUAGUGGGGGAUAACACUGGGAAACUAGUGCUAAUACCGCAUAAUCCCUGAGGGGGAAAGCCGAGAGGAGCUAUUAGAUGAGACUGCGUCAGAUUAGCUAGUUGGUGGGGUAAAGGCCUACCAAGGCGAAGAUCUGUAGCUGUUCUGAGAGGAAGAUCAGCCACACUGGGACUGAGACACGGCCCAGACUCCGACGGGAGGCAGCAGUGGGGAAUAUUGGACAAGUGGGGCAACCCUGAUCCAGCAAUGCCGCGUGUGUGAAGAAGGCCUGUGGGUUGUAAAGCACUUUCAGGGGGGAAGAAGGGUACGCAAGUACAUUGACAUUACCCUCAGAAGAAGCACCGGCUAACUCUGUGCCAGCCGCCGCCGUAA
rnacentral:rRNA from 1 species